rnacentral:lncRNA from 1 species
AGGAAGUAGACCUUACUGAAAUCUUUUCAAUUAGCAGCAAUGUAUGAAUAUGCAUAUGAACACGACACGGGCAGAAUUUAACUCAUCUCCAUUGAAAUAAGAAAGAAUAAAAACUUCAAAAUUCAAACGACCACUACAACAAAAUUUCCAUAUCAAAACAAAGUUUAACAAAACUCAGCAACAAAGAUCCGUCGUUGAGAUGCUUAAGCUCCAAAACGUUGGUUGACAUUGUCGAAGAAAAAACUGAAGGGUCAUUAGUUUCAUCUUAUCGAAGAAGAAGAAACAACCAUGGAUAGUUCUAUCAUUUUGGCUGAGGAAGAAGCUCAGAAGAUCUGGGUGGUCGCUGGAAUGGAGUUGCUGCUCUAAGGGUUGAAGGGUUCAGGAGUGUGCUUUGUUGUAGUUUAGUUUCUGCUGCGAAGCCGGCGGCGGAAAUGGUUUAAUAUCCGGUGAGUUUGGUUUUAGGGGUGUGUCACGGCUGGAAAGGGUGGUCAUUUGGUUGGUGAAUGGCGAGGUUCAGUGGUUAGUGGCGUGGAGGCUGACAGGUUUUAGGCGAGUUGUGGGCGUGGAGGAGGCAGCGGAGGCGGUGGGCUAGGGUUCCUAGGUUUGUGUUUGGUUGUCAUUUUGUGUGAGAAGAUGAAACGCGAUGUUGGUUUUGGGUUGAGGGGUGGCUGGUUAUGGCUAAUGGUUGACUGAUUUUGUUGUAUUCAUAGUUGAAGAUGGCUUAUGGCUUUAGUCUUGAAGAUGGAAGAUGGAGGCUAGGGUUCCAAGGGUAAGG